rnacentral:rRNA from 1 species
AUCCCAGACUCCUACGGGAGGCAGCAGUGGGGAAUAUUGCACAAUGGGCGCAAGCCUGAUGCAGCCAUGCCGCGUGUAUGAAGAAGGCCUUCGGGUUGUAAAGUACUUUCAGUCGGGAGGAAGGUGUCAAGGUUAAUAACCUUGGCAAUUGACGUUACCGACAGAAGAAGCACCGGCUAACUCCGUGCCAGCAGCCGCGGUAAUACGGAGGGUGCAAGCGUUAAUCGGAAUUACUGGGCGUAAAGCGCACGCAGGCGGUCUGUCAAGUCGGAUGUGAAAUCCCCGGGCUCAACCUGGGAACUGCAUUCGAAACUGGCAGGCUGGAGUCUUGUAGAGGGGGGUAGAAUUCCACGUGUAGCGGUGAAAUGCGUAGAGAUGUGGAGGAAUACCGGUGGCGAAGGCGGCCCCCUGGACAAAGACUGACGCUCAGGUGCGAAAGCGUGGGGAGCAAACAGGAUUAGAUACCCUUGUACC